rnacentral:tRNA from 1 species
GCCGAAGUGGCGGAACUGGCAGACGCACAGGACUUAAAAUCCUGCGGGAAUUAACCCCCGUACCGGUUCGAUCCCGGUCUUCGGCACCA